CAAACUCUUGUAGUCUGGGCCUUAAUUUAUUAUUAUUUAAACCUGUCUUCAAGCAGAUAAAGUGAGGAUAUAAACAAGCAGAGAAUUAUACGUCAGGACUGCUUUCCCGAGGAAAGAGAGUGUGGGCACAAAGUUAGCAGAGGAAAAGUCUGGAUAGCUACACAUAAGAAGACCAAUGGAGCUUUUGUCAGUGAUGAGGCAAGAGAAAUUGGAGUAUUUAAUCAAGAAGUGUGUUGAUGGAUGUAACAAAGAAGAACAAUCUAGACAAUCUUUGUCUUUAUUUUUAGUAUUGAAUAUCGUUGUUUUCCAAUUUUU